GGAAGCCUGACGCAGCGACGCCGCGUGGGGGAUGACGGCCUUCGGGUUGUAAACCUCUUUCGACCUUGACGAAGCCUUUCGGGGUGACGGUAGGGGUAGAAGAAGCACCGGCCAACUACGUGCCAGCAGCCGCGGUAAUACGUAGGGUGCGAGCGUUGUCCGGAAUUAUUGGGCGUAAAGAGCUCGUAGGCGGUCUGUCGCGUCGGUCGUGAAAACUUGGGGCUUAACCCUGAGCUUGCGGUCGAUACGGGCAUGACUGGAGUUCGGCAGGGGAGACUGGAAUUCCUGGUGUAGCGGUGAAAUGCGCAGAUAUCAGGAGGAACACCGGUGGCGAAGGCGGGUCUCUGGGCCGAUACUGACGCUGAGGAGCGAAAGCGUGGGGAGCGAACAGGAUUAGAUACCCUGGUAGUCCACGCCGUAAACAGUGGGCGCUAGGUGUGGGGGCCAUUCCACGGUCUCUGUGCCGCAGCUAACGCAUUAAGCGCCCCG
rnacentral:rRNA from 1 species